rnacentral:rRNA from 1 species
GACGAACGCUGGCGGCGUGCCUAAUACAUGCAAGUAGAACGCAGUUGCGACCGGGUCAGUCACGCGUAGGUAACUGCCUGGUAGAGGGGGACAACACGUGGAACCGAUAGCUAAUACCGCAUACUACCAGAUGGACCUGCGUUGUAUUAGCUAGUUGGGAGGGUAACGGCUCAACAAGGCAACGAUACAUAGCCGACCUGAGAGGGUGAUCUGCUACACGGGGACUUAGACACGGCCCAGACGCCGACGGGAGGCAGCAGUAGGGAAUCUUCGGCAAUGGACGGAAGUCUGACCGAGCAACGCCGCGUGAGUGAAGAAGGUUUGCGGAUCGUAAAGCUCUGUUGUAAGAGAAGCGGUAUCUUACCAGAAAGGGACGGCUAACUACGUGCCAGCAGCCGCGGUAAUAC